CACUCCUACGGGAGGCAGCAGUGGGGAAUUUUGGACAAUGGGCGAAAGCCUGAUCCAGCAAUGCCGCGUGAGUGAAGAAGGCCUUCGGGUUGUCAAGCUCUUUUGUCAGGGAAGAAACGGUGAAAGCUAAUAUCUUUUGCUAAUGACGGUACCUGAAGAAUAAGCACCGGCUAACUACGUGCCAGCAGCCGCGGUAAUACGUAGGGUGCAAGCGUUAAUCGGAAUUACUGGGCGUAAAGCGUGCGCAGGCGGUUUUGUAAGUCUGAUGUGAAAUCCCCGGGCUCAACCUGGGAAUUGCAUUGGAGACUGCAAGGCUAGAAUCUGGCAGAGGGGGGUAGAAUUCCACGUGUAGCAGUGAAAUGCGUAGAUAUGUGGAGGAACACCGAUGGCGAAGGCAGCCCCCUGGGUCAAGAUUGACGCUCAUGCACGAAAGCGUGGGGAGCAAACAGGAUUAGAUACCCCUGUAGUCCCAUG
rnacentral:rRNA from 1 species